GCUUCUUGUUUUUCUUGGUAAUGUUUAAGAUAUACUAGAACAUAUAUCUUAACUUUCUUGAUUGAGAAAAACAAGAUAUUUUUGGGGGUUCAUGGCACCUAGAGAUAGUUGCAAGAUAUAACAUUUAUAAUAUAGUUGAAUAGUAUGGUAACCUUUCUUUUGAAAUUUCUGUUGGUGACCAAGCUAUGUUUAUUUCAAAGUUAUGUUUUGCUUUCCUCAAAUCAAAACCCAUUUGGUGUCUUUGUUAAGAAUUAGUCUUGGUAACAAGAAAAUAUUUCUUGAUUUUCUAGCAUAUCUUGUCAUGUGACUUUUUCUGAACUCCUGAUUGGUUUAUUUGUAUCUCAGAGUACUGUUGGGCUACCCCAGGUGGUCCAUCUCUAUUUUGAACAGUUAUAAGAAAAUAUUUCUUAACAUUUCUUGUUUUUCUAGCCUCUCUGGUCAUGUGACUUUUUCUGAACCCCUGAUUGGUUGAUCUGUAUCCCAGAGUACAGUUGGGCUACUCCAUCUCCAUUUUGAACAGAGUGACAGUUGCAGCAGCUCAGUUCACUACUCUUUGUAUCAGUUGAUGACUCGUGCCAGUUUUACAGCCAAAAGUAAGGUAAAAGGGACCAUGAUCAUGUGAGGCACUGGUGACUGGGUUCAAUUUGCUAAAAAUCAACAACUAUGCAGCGGAAACAGCUGGGAACAAGAUAUGAAGGAUAAAGUGUCUGGAGGUUUUGACCAUACCAAAUGUCAAGAAUGAAAAGUUCACUGCAAGGGUUUGCUCUGUUUUGGAAUGUGAUACUCUGAAACCAUAUGGAAUAGUUAUAUCUAAGUUUAUAGAUUAUGGCCUUAGCAUAUUCCGCUACAAAAUAGCUACACUGCCAUUUAAGUAAUGCAAUAAUAUUGCUGUAAAUGCUUCUUUGAGAAGGGUAAUGAAUUUGAGAUUUUUCUUCUUGUACGUAUAUCAAGAUAAAUAAUUGGCAAUUUGAAUGUAAAGGAAUUAAUAUGCUCCUUGGGUAUUGGUUAUAUAUUAUUAUAAUACUAUAGGAAAUUCUACCAUAAUUAUUGAUGUUUGUCUGGUACUGUCAUCGUAAAAGUAUUUCCAUUCAAAGACUGUUACUAUUGUGAUCAUACUUCAUAAGUCUUAUGUAAGAAUGUGGUAAUAAACAUUCCUAUACUAUACACAUAAGUUGUUGAGAUUUCUUCCUCUAACAUUUUUGUAGUUGCUAUUAACUAUUUAGUGAUUUUCUGUUUUUAAGUAUUUGACAGCAGGAAUGAUUGUUCAAGAAAGUGAAUCUCAAUGCAAGAGACAAUUUCUUGGUGUGUCUUUAGGAAGGAAGAAAUUCUUGAACCAGAAGCUGAUUCUUGGUGCAAGUAAAAUAUUCCUGGUGCAAGAUUUCCAGACUUGUACAGAGAAUCACUGUCUAAGAGUAAGAGUAUCAGUCUUAAGAUUAGAAAGGAAUUCUUGAGCAAGAUCCUGAAUCUUAGCACAAGACGCAUAUUCUGUUAACUGGUAACUUAGUUCUUUAGGACAGAAAGGUUUCCUUGCUUCCAAAUAACUUUCAAGAAACUGAUUCUAGGUUUGACCUGCUACCAGAAUCUUAAUCUUUGUACAAGAUAAUAUAUAUUUGGUUUAAGACAUCUAUUCUUAAGGACGGAAGGUUAUUCUUGUUGAAAGAAU